GUGCCUGUAGCCAAUGGAUAGCGCGUUGGACUCCUCAUCCAAAAGUCGUGGGUUCCAAUCCCAUCUGGAAUA